UACAGAGGGUGCGAGCGUUGUCCGGAAUCACUGGGCGUAAAGGGCGCGUAGGUGGCGACCCAAGUCGAUGGUGAAAGCUCGCCGCUCAACGGCGAGUCGGCCACUGAUACUGGGUUGCUGGAGCACUGUAGAGGCAGAUGGAAUUCCGGGUGUAGCGGUGGAAUGCGUAGAGAUCCGGAGGAACACCAGUGGCGAAGGCGACACGCUGGGCCGUACCUGACACUAAAACGCGACAGCAUGGGGAGCAAACAGG
rnacentral:rRNA from 1 species